CAGGAAGGGGAGGGGAGGUACAUAAUGAUAUGUAAAACAGACUUGUCUGGGCAGGAAGGGGAGGGGAGGUACAUAAUGAUAUGUAAAACAGACUUGUCUGGGCAGGAAGGGGAGGGGAGGUACGUAAUGAUAUGUAAAACAGACUUGUCUGGGCAGGAAGGGGAGGUGCGUAAUGAUAUGUAAAACAGACUUGUCUGGGCAGGAAGGGGAGGGGAGGUACAUAAUGAUAUGUAAAACAGACUUGUCUGGGCAUGAAGGGGAGGUACAUAAUGACAGGUAAAACAGACUUGUCUAGGCAGGAAGGGGAGGGUAGGUACGUAAUGAUAUGUAAAACAGACUUGUCUGGGCAGGAAGGGUAGGUACAUAAUGAUAUGUAAAACAGACUUGUCUGGGCAGGAAGGGGAGGUACGUAAUGAUAUGUAAAACAGACUUGUCUGGGCAGGAAGGGGAGGUACAUAAUGAUAUGUAAAACAGACUUGUCUGGGCAGGAAGGGGAGGUACAUAAUGAUAUGUAAAACAGACUUGUCUGGGCAGGAAGGGGAGGUACAUAAUGAUAUGUAAAACAGACUUGUCUGGGCAGGAAGGGGAGGUACAUAAUGAUAUGUAAAACAGACUUGUCUGGGCAGGAAGGGGAGGUACAUAAUGAUAUGUAAAACAGACUUGUCUGGGCAGGAAGGGGACAUAAUGAUAUGUAAAACAGACUUGUCUGGGCAGGAAGGAGGAGGUACAUAAUGGUAAAACAGACAUAAUGAUAUGUAAAACAGACUUGUCUGGGCAGGAAGGGGAGGGGAGGUACAUAAUGAUAUGUAAAACAGACUUGUCUGGGCAGGAAGGGGGAG
ensembl:lncRNA